rnacentral:rRNA from 1 species
CCUACGGGCGGCAGCAGUGAGGAAUAUUGGUCAAUGGGCGAGAGCCUGAACCAGCCAAGUCGCGUGAGGGAAGACGGUCCUAUGGAUUGUAAACCUCUUUUGCCGGGGAGCAAAAAGCGGUACGUGUACCGCAUCGAGAGUACCCGGAGAAAAAGCCUCGGCUAACUCCGUGCCAGCAGCCGCGGUAAUACGGAGGAUGCGAGCGUUAUCCGGAUUUAUUGGGUUUAAAGGGUGCGCAGGCGGCGAGUUAAGUCAGCGGUGAAAGUUUGUGGCUCAACCAUAAAAUUGCCGUUGAAACUGGAAGACUUGAGUGUGUUUAAGGUAGGCGGAAUGCGUGGUGUAGCGGUGAAAUGCAUAGAUAUCACGCAGAACUCCGAUUGCGAAGGCAGCUUACUAAGCCAUAACUGACACUGAAGCACGAAAGCGUGGGGAUCAAACAGGAUUAGAUACCCCUGUAGUC